CCUGGUGAUCAGAGCGGCUGUGUACCACCUCUUCCCAUUCCGAACAGAGUCGUGAAAGCAGUCAGCGCCGAUGGUACUUUAGCCUCCAAGGCUACGGGAGAGUAAGUCAUUGCCGGGA
rnacentral:rRNA from 1 species